GAUGAAGAACGUAGCGAAAUGCGAUACGUAAUGUGAAUUGCAGAAUUCAGUGAAUCAUCGAAUCUUUGAACGCACAUUGCGCCCGCCAGCACUCUGGCGGGCAUGCCUGUUCGAGCGUCAUUUCAACCAUCAAGCCCCAGGCUUGCGUUGGAGCCCUGCGGCUGCCGCAGCCGCCUAAAAGCAGUGGCGGGCUCGCUAUCACACCGAGUGCAGUAGAUUACUCUUCGCUCAGGGCGUGCAGCGGGUUCCGGCCGUGAAACCCCCUACUUUUAAAGGUUGACCUCGGAUCAGGUAGGAAUACCCGCUGAACUUAAGCAUAUCAAUAAGCGGAGGA
rnacentral:misc_RNA from 1 species